CCUACGGGAGGCUGCAGUGUGGAAUAUUGGACAAUGGGGGCAACCCUGAUCCAGCCAUGCCGCGUGUGUGAAGAAGGCCCUCGGGUUGUAAAGCACUUUCAGUGAGGAAGAACGCCUGGUGGUUAAUACCCAUCAGGAAAGACAUCACUCACAGAAGAAGCACCGGCUAACUCCGUGCCAGCAGCCGCGGUAAUACGGAGGGUGCGAGCGUUAAUCGGAAUUACUGGGCGUAAAGCGCGCGUAGGUGGCUUGAUAAGCCGGUUGUGAAAGCCCCGGGCUCAACCUGGGAACGGCAUCCGGAACUGUCAAGCUAGAGUGCAGGAGAGGAAGGUAGAAUUCCCGGUGUAGCGGUGAAAUGCGUAGAGAUCGGGAGGAAUACCAGUGGCGAAGGCGGCCUUCUGGACUGACACUGACACUGAGGUGCGAAAGCGUGGGUAGCAAACAGGAUUAGAUACCCGUGUAGUC
rnacentral:rRNA from 1 species